UACGUAGGUGGCAAGCGUUAUCCGGAUUUAUUGGGCGUAAAGGGAACGCGGGCGGUCUUUUAAGUCUGAUGUGAAAGCCUUCGGCUUAACCGGAGUAGUGCAUUGGAAACUGGGAGACUUGAGUGCAGAAGAGGAGAGUGGAGCUCCAUGUGUAGCGGUGAAAUGCGUAGAUAUAUGGAAGAACACCAGUGGCGAAAGCGGCUCUCUGGUCUGUAACUGACGCUGAGGUUCGAAAGCGUGGGUAGCAAACAGG
rnacentral:rRNA from 1 species